CCUACGGGUGGCAGCAGUGAGGAAUAUUGGUCAAUGGGGGAAACCCUGAUGCAGCGACGCCGCGUGUGGGAAGACGGUCCUCUGUAUUGUAAACCACUGUCCCCAGGGACGAAGAUGACGGUACCUGGGGAGGAAGCUCCGGCUAACUACGUGCCAGCAGCCGCGGUAAUACGUAGGGAGCGAGCGUUGUCCGGAAUUACUGGGUGUAAAGGGAGCGUAGGCGGGGAUGCAAGUUGGGUGUCAAAACUACCGGCUCAACUGGUAGUCGCACUCAAAACUGCAGCGCUUGAGUGAAGUAGAGGCAGGCGGAAUUCCGAGUGUAGCGGUGAAAUGCGUAGAUAUUAGGAGGAACACCAGUGGCGAGGCGGCCUGCUGGGCUUUUACUGACGCUGAGGUUCCUUGACCCCUGUAGUC
rnacentral:rRNA from 1 species